GGGGAACCAGGAAGCGGCGCCGCCGCCGGGCCCUUGGCCGGUGCACGCGUCCACCCGAGGGUUGGGCGCGCCGCCGUCCAGCGGCUCCGUGACGGCGCCAAAACCGGUGC
rnacentral:pre_miRNA from 1 species